ensembl:lincRNA
CUUGAGAUUUGCACAUCCUCAAGGGAAGCUGUGGUUUGGAAUAAGAUCGUGCAUUUAAUUUCACUCAGAGAACUUAUUGGACUUGGCACCAAAAGAAAGAAUUUGCAGUAUAUUUUUUGUCAUGAUUAGUGGCCCCCUUGCCACAACAUUUGAUUAUUUUGGAAAGGGAAAAGUUAAAUCCUUGUAAAGUUGUGAUUUACAAUUUUCGAGCAUCCAGGUAGGGAGCAUGACUUCUGCCAGCUUGAUCAUGGGAUCCGCAUUUUAUUCUAGCUCAUUGAUGUGAGAAAACAAAACAGUUCUGUGGGGGAAAAUAGACUUGAAAAUAUAUCCCUUGAUUAUCCUGGGAGAUUUUUCUCUCCAAACUACGUCUUCUUUCAGUCACAAUGAUUUUGGUAUCCACUGGAACUUGUAGCAAGAAACUGGCAUGUGGCUGGUUUACUUUUCAUUUCUAAUCUGUAGUAUCUGGUAUUUUAUUUUAUCAUUUGAUUUCCUUGCCCUCGCAGUUAUGUAAAUCUUGAGGCAAAGGAGUUAAAAAGAGGUUCUUAUUUUAUACCUGGACAUUUUUUCUCAAGCUUUAUAAUUAAGAUUAGAGAUCUUGUGGGUAUUUUAAAAAUAUACUAAAAUUUGUCCAAAUAGCCAAAGGCAAAGGGAAUGACCAACGGGGUAGCUGAUGAAUAUUUUCCUGGUAGAUGUACAACAACGUUCCCCACAACUGGGAUGCUUUAUCCUUUGACAUUAAGAAUGCUGUUUGCAGAAGUAACAUUCCUUUGAACACUCAGCGUUCUGAAAUCGUGUCCCGCCGCAAGGACUCAAGUAGGAGCGUGCCUUGCAAUGAAGAAGAUAGCGUGAUGAGGAAGCUCAAGAAGUAGGAAAAUGAAAAUUUAGGAUGUCAGGGUCAUGAGUUGUUAGGCACGCUGCUGAAACUCUACAAUCUCACCAGAAGCUACUUUUCACGGAGGGUCCCUUCAUCAUAAAAGCCUAGGACGGUAGAAUUGCACCUUCAACUGGCAUCUCUCCACCUUACAGGGCCCUAAAAGCUUUCAAAUCCACCUCAGGCCCAGGCAGUAGCAAAGUGGGAGAGGAACUGAAGAAACAAAAAUAAAUAUUAAAGUACAUGAGAAUUAAAUAUUACCUAUUUAAAUGGCAAUUAUGCAGUUGAAAACAAGAUCAUCACACCUGUACAAGAAAAGGCAUGCAAGCCCAAAACAUCUGCUUGGAUCCACCUGCCAGGCACCUGUUUUGCUGUUUCAAUGCCAUUUGAUUGCUGGAGAUGUAGAGGCUCUUGUGAGGUAAUGAGUGAUUUUACAUUAUGCAUGAUUGAAAACAGGUGUUCUAAUGCUGUACAAUUCUAUGCAUGAAUAAUUCAGUUUGUUUAGAGCAAGAUCUUUAAAAGAAGUACUGCAUGGGCUUUAUUAUUUCUAUAAACAUGAAGGUUUUUUUUUUUUUUUAAUUUACAAUGAUUGUUCCUUUUCAGUCAGCUUGUUUAUGGCAAUUUUUGUGUAAUUUUAUGGAUGAGGAGUAAUAUCUUGAAAGGUAAAAUUGAUCACACUUAAAACAUGUAAGAAGUAAAAUUGAAAGGUCUGUUAGCAAGAGGAAAGAUGGUAUUAAUGUUCAAUGUUCUAAGUGAAAAUGCCUGAUUAUUUCCUUCCUGCUUUGCCUGCUUUCUGAUGGUAACAAAACAUUUGUCUGAGGGCUAUAAUUAGGGAGGGGUGAACUAUUUGGGAAAAUAGAGAAAUUGUUUUGUAUCUCAGCCCAAACAUCAUGCAGAGCCC